CUAGCUACACCAAAAAUCAAAGGAGGCAUGGGAUUUUGAGAUUUUGAGAAGUUUAACUUGGCACUUCUUGGGAAACAAGGAUGGCGUUUGAUUGCACAUCCCAAUUCACUAUGCUCACAUGUCCUCAAAGGGAAAUACUUCCCGGAGUGUGAUUUUAUGCAGGCUCAAGCUCCAACUAAAUCUUCUACAACAUGGAGAGCGAUUAUCGCCAGGAGAACAAUGCUACAAAUAGAAUUGUUGAAACGAGUGGGAGACGGCUCAACAAUUCCCAUAUGGAUCGAUCAGUGGAUUCCUACCAUAGCAACACUGACGCCUAUGGGAAGAAUAGAAAAUGAGGACCUGAAUCUGGUUUCGGACCUCAUUAAUCAACACGGACAGUGGGAUGUUGAAACAGUAAGGAGAAAUUUCUUUGCGACAGACAUAGAGGCCAUUCUCAACAUACCUUUGCGGGCGUCAGGUGUGGAAGAUACCUUGAGUUGGGCUUUGGAAAGAUCAAGGGAAUAUUCAGUCAAAACAACAUACCGCGCUCUUGUGACUCGCGACAAGCAUCGAGCUCUAGAGGAAGGGCGGCAACAGGGACUUCAUUGUCAGAUGUUCACCUCUGGUAUGCUUUAUGGAAGCUCAAGGUAA
rnacentral:rRNA from 1 species